rnacentral:lncRNA from 1 species
CUGCUGAUGUGGGUGGAGAUGAUCUUUGCUUUGAGAACAGGAUUCAUUAUGUGGGCUGGUCAGGAGUGGGAACAAGAGCAGGAAGGCCACAGGGGAUUGAGAGUACUUCUGUCCCCAACACACUCAUCAAGGACGUGCAAUCGGGGGCCAAGGCUCAUUAUGGUGAUUUUCAACAGGGAAAGAGGGAAUUAUCGGAACUGGGGUGAAAUGUGGGUGAUGAUUAAAGAAGUUUGAGAGAAAAAAAAGCAUACCUAGCUGAUUCUAACAUCUAAAGAAUUACUAUGGUGACGAGUUUUGUUUUGUUUUGUUUUGUUUUGUUUAACUAAAAAGUAAGGUAGAGAAUCAAAUUAAAAGUGCACAGCAUGGGCUAUGAACCACUUCUAAAAGGUUUCACAUCUUCUUUAACAGAAUUUAAUGGCUAAAAUGUAAGGAGAUAACAAGGGUGACAGAAGGUACUGAAAAAAACAGUAUGUGAGUCACGGCCCAUGUUUUCUUUAGGAUAGAUGCUGAGUAAACAACUAAAGAGUUACGGUACAUGCCUGUGUAUAUUUUAAAUUUCAAUAGAUACUUCCAAAUUACUUCCUAUUGAGGAUCCCACAGUGGUAUGGACAAGCUCUCUAAACUUUUACCUACUGUAUGCAUGAUGCCUUGCUAAUUACAGAAUAUAUAAUAAUAAAGGCCCUAAAAUAUGAUUCAGCAUCACUAAAAGUAAAGGGAAAACAGAAAUGUUUGUUGUGAUAGAGGUAGUAUGAUGAGUAACUGCUCUCUGUAGUAUCAGUAAUGAAAUGCUUGUACAAUAAGCCAGGUGCUAAUGAAAUCAGCAUCUGGCAUUAUAAAGAUAAGAAGUUAUCCCAAAGAAUAUCUCAAUGAAGAAUGCUGAAUAAAUUCAUCCACAGGCACUUGUUUCGUUCAUCCUACUGCACUAAGCCUAAGUGGUCACAACACAACUAACAAUUAUCCUUGAAAAUUAAAGGAGAAUAGCCCAGCUUUAAAACAAACUUAAAAUCUAGAAAAGAAAAAAUAUAUUACUUCAACUUCAAAAAUGGGAAAAUCCUGAAACAU